GAUGAAGAACGUAGCGAAAUGCGAUACGUAAUGUGAAUUGCAGAAUUCAGUGAAUCAUCGAGUCUUUGAACGCACAUUGCGCCCCCUGGUAUUCCGGGGGGCAUGCCUGUCCGAGCGUCAUUGCUGCCCUCAAGCACGGCUUGUGUGUUGGGCCUCCGUCCUCCUCCCGGGGGACGGGCCCGAAAGGCAGCGGCGGCACCGCGUCCGGUCCUCGAGCGUAUGGGGCUUCGUCACCCGCUCUUGUAGGCCCGGCCGGCGCUUGCCGACACAUCAAUCUUUUUUCCAGGUUGACCUCGGAUCAGGUAGGGAUACCCGCUGAACUUAAGCAUAUCAAUAGCGGAGG
rnacentral:misc_RNA from 1 species